rnacentral:lncRNA from 1 species
CCGUCGGGUACUGCUGCGAUCGCGUGGCGUCGCGCGCCUUGGCUGCGUAGAGCUUCCAGGCGAGGCCGGGGCCGGCGGAGCCGAUCUGGUGGAGGAGCUCGUAGUCCUGGAGAGGCUUGGGUCCCGUGACUUCCUGGACUGUGGUGUGAACCGUCUUCUCGAUCACGGCGGCGGUUCUGGCCAGAGCUUCGGUGAAGGUUUUCAUGUUGAUCGACAUUUUCUAACGGAUUUUGACAGUUGCUCCGUGAAUGUUGUUGCAGAGGAGAGAUCUAAGUUGGGAUCGAGGAGGAAGACGAUGGAGGAUUGAAGCAGAAGUCUGCUGGAUCGAAGAUCAGAUCGUCUUCUUCCUCCUCCUCCCCACCACCUCUCGUCGUCUGAUUGAUUUUUAUUUUCCUUAAGGAAAAAAGUUUCUC